AUUGAACGCUGGCGGCAUGCUUUACACAUGCAAGUCGAACGGUAACAGGCCUUCGGGUGCUGACGAGUGGCGAACGGGUGAGUAAUGCAUCGGAACGUACCCAGAGGUGGGGGAUAACGCAGCGAAAGCUGUGCUAAUACCGCAUGUGAUCUGAGGAUGAAAGCGGGGGACCGAGCAGCAAUGUUUGGCCUCGCGCCUUUGGAGCGGCCGAUGUCGGAUUAGCUAGUUGGUGGGGUAAAGGCCUACCAAGGCGACGAUCCGUAGCUGGUCUGAGAGGCCGACCAGCCACAUGGGAACUGAGACACGGCCCAGACUCCUACGGGAGGCAGCAGUGGGGAAUGUUGGACAAUGGGCGCAAGCCUGAUCCAGCAAGGCCGCGUGCGGGAAGAAGGCCUUCGGUGUGUAAACCGCUUUUGGCAGUAACGAAACGGUGUCCGCUAAUACCGGGCGCUAAUGACGGUACCUGCAGAAUAAGCACCGGCUAACUACGUG
rnacentral:rRNA from 1 species